UACGUAGGGUGCAAGCGUUAAUCGGAAUUACUGGGCGUAAAGCGUGCGCAGGCGGUGAUGUAAGACAGGUGUGAAAUCCCCGGGCUUAACCUGGGAACUGCAUUUGUGACUGCAUCGCUGGAGUGCGGCAGAGGGGGAUGGAAUUCCGCGUGUAGCAGUGAAAUGCGUAGAGAUCCGGCAGAAGACCGGUGGCGAAGGCGGCCCCCUGGGCAGUAACUGACACUGAGGCGCGACAGCGUGGGGAGCAAACAGG
rnacentral:rRNA from 1 species